rnacentral:rRNA from 1 species
ACGCUCGACACCUACGGGAGGCAGCAGUGGGGAAUAUUGCACAAUGGGGGAAACCCUGAUGCAGCGACGCCGCGUGGAGGAAGAAGGUCUUCGGAUUGUAAACUCCUGUUGUUGGGGAAAAGAGGAUGGUACCCAACAAGGAAGUGACGGCUAACUACGUGCUAGCAGCCGCGGUAAUCUGAGCGGGCUGGCAAGGC